UUUGGUCAACUAGGGUUGAACCCAGAGGGCAAUACAGAGCAAGAACGAGAACAAAAGAAAGCCAGCCUGUGCAUUACACCGGUUUUUAGCCUUUACUUUCAUUUUGUUUACUAGGGUUGAAACUUUAUAUUUUACUGUACUUGUCUAAAAUACUAUAAUGUAAUGUUAUAUGUGUAAAGUUGUGUUGUAGUGUAUAAACUCUUGUCAUCU
rnacentral:lncRNA from 1 species